AUGUCAUCCGUUACAGAGCCGCCCCUGUUUGUGUUGGAGGUGAGCAUGAAGGACCUUGAGGACACAGAUGUACUGUAUGCCACCUGUGGAGAUGUCUAUGUCCGGCGUGAUGGCAGCGUUCAGGGGCCCCUUAAGGGAGCUGAAAUCCAGGAGUGGACCCGACAGACAUCAGAAGGAAAUUCAACAGCUCCGUAAGACAGUGCUGCUACAGGAAGAGAGGCUACUGAAACAGGAACAAAGUACCAAGUCGAAAGUCUGUGUCCUUUUAUGAUGUUGUCCAAAACUUGUGACCUUUUAUGCCGUUUUCAAAAGUUUUUGACAUUGUGAGAACAUGUGCCCAAAUUGUAAAAUUGUCCCAAAUCAAUUUCUUGUACUUUUGAUAUUGUGAUACAUGAACAUGUGUUUUCAUAAUAGGACUUGGGUUUAUAAUGUAAUGAUAGCGGUCCAAGAUGUAUAACAGCUUGUAUAUAUAGAACUUUUGCAUUAAUGUUUGGACGAUUAUUAAAUAUAAUCAAUUUUGAUUGGUUGGCACCCAUAAUCUAGAUUAAUUCUGACAUAAGUCAUGACUUUUGUUGACUGUCUUGUUCUAUCUUUCUUCAGAUCAGAGUGACUUAGUACAUUAUAUUUGACUUUCUUAAUCUAAAAAUGAUAGACCACAAGGAAAGAUACCUUCGAUUGGACUUAAACUCUGUUUACGUGUACAAUACACCGAAUACAUAGAAUAUAGACUCUAGUAUACGCUAUUGUCUCACAAAAUCAUUGUCUGUUUUAAUUGAUAUAACUAUAUAAUUUGUAAUGAAAUAACACAUGAAUUUUUUUUUACCUUGAAUAUAAGGUAAGAAAUACAAUUUUCUUAUGUUAACAAUUUUCAAUAUUGCCUUAAUUAUGAUUAAGACAGUGAAAACAAAACAGUGAAAGGUAUAUUUUACAUUCAUUUAAUCAACCUAAGAGUCAUUUCCCUGAUAACAGGAUAUACAUUUUGCCAGUGAAUAGUGUAGAUCCUAUAACUUUCAACCCAAUAGGUAAAAUUAAUUUUGUCGCAACUUUUAACUGAUUAUAAUUGAUUGGCUUCUCCCAUCCAAAAGAUUAUCGGUAAAUACAAAAAUUCUGACUGAUUCCCUGUAUUAUUUUACAUCAGGUCUCUUAUACCAUAUAGCUGGACCCUUCUAGGAACGUUCCGGAUAUGGCUGAUUGGCAAACAUGAGGAAAUUUAAGUAUUUCUGCUUGGUAGUCUACAGAACUACUUAGAUUAUUUGCUGAAUUCUAAUGUUGCAAUACAUCUUCAUAUCAUUGUGGUGUUCUGAAGAUCAGCAUGCAUUAUUUUUGUAAUUUAAAGAGUUUUAGAAACAGCUGUUGAUACAUCGUAUAUAUAUGAUUUCAUCCUCAAAAUCCAGGGAUUAUAUACUUGAUUUAAUUAGUGUUCUCCUCUUAGACUUUGCACAUGAAUUUAAAUGAAUGCAACCCCAGAAAUUUCAAGAUGAUAUAGUUUGCCUAAGUCUAAUUAGGACUAAAUAGACAAUUAGGCUACUAAUACAGAUUCCCUGACGGCUAAACUUACUUAGGGGUUAGAUAUUGGCAGGAUAUUACUACUUAAUAAUUGAAAUUUAUAAUAGCAGCAUUAUAAUUAAUUGCUUGGUCACAAAUGUUAAAGUUGUAGAUCUAUCGUGUGUGGAUUUCAUACACAUAUAAGUCAGCCUUAUAUACUUGUUAGAGUAUUCCAACAGACACAUAUAAGUCAGCCUUAUAUACUUGUUAGAGUAUUCCAACAGAGAAAUAUAUUUAACAAUGAUUUAUUUUUUUUAAAGAUAUUCUUUAAUGAAAUAAGACAAGAUUGUUUGUUCAUAAGAAUUAAGUAUUGGUUUUCAUAUCUAAUACCAAAGCUUUUAAAAGCAUUUAUAGGAGUUAAAAUGUUCUGACCAUCAACAAAAAGUUUAAGUAUUGUGUCUGAAUGGUUUUCUCAAACACUGGAGUUUUCACUAUGUUAUAUCUCUAGAGGUUAUAUUGGCAGAAUAUGCUAAACUUUAGCAGUACAUGUGUGAUACGAGGGGUGAGAAGUUUGAUGCAAGAGGUUAGCAGUGUGGUAUUGGAGGUUAGCAAUACAGGUAUCAAAGGUAAGCGGUGUGAUGCAAGAGGUUAGCGGUAUGAUGCAAGAGGUUAGCAGUGUGAUGCAAGAGGUUGACAGUGUUGUAUUGGAGGUUAGCAGUAAAGUAUCAGAGGUUAGCGGUGUGAUGCAAGAGGUUAGCAGUGUGAUGCAAGAGGUUAACAGUGUUGUAUUGGAGGUUAGCAGUAAAGUAUCAGAGGUUAGCGGUGUGAUGCAAGAGGUUAGCAGUAAAGUAUCAGAGGUUAGUAGUGUGAUGCAAGAGGUUAACAGUGUUGUAUUGGUGGUUAGCAGUAAAGUAUCAGAGGUUAGCGGUGUGAUGCAAGAUAUUUGCAGUGUGGUAUUUGAGAAUAGCAGUAAAAUAUCAAAGAUUAGCAAUGUGAUGCAAGAUACUAGCCGUGUGGUGUUGGAGGUUAGCAGUAAGAUACCAGUGGUUAGUGGUGUGGUAUAAAUAUAAAAGGUUAGCAGUGUGAUAUAAGUAUUAUGUCUGGAUUGUUGAAACACAUUUUCUCUCUAUAAUUAUGUUUUUGUCUUAAUUGUUGACUAUGAUUCCUGUUAAUACAUAAUAUUGUCAGUUUAACAACAUAUGACAUGGCAAGCAGUAUUAUAGGUAAUUAUGACUGUGUUAAAUACACUUUCUGUAGAUUGUUUUCUGGUGAAUUAAGGUGUGUUAAUUCAUAACUCUGCUAAUCUGUUUGAAAUGGGUUAUGCACUAAAAUAUGGGUUCACUAAAAUGAGUACAUUUACAGAAUGUCCAUCAGUCUCUGUGUUGUCUGUGUGUUAGCUUGUACCAGAUUUAACAUUCAUUGUAUAAGUUGUGACAUAAACUCAUUUAUCAUGUAAAUUUUAAACUUUAAGGAUAACAUGAAUGUUGUAUACUUGGGUGUUAUACCCCAAGGUGCCCUGAGUUAUUGCCCCAUGAUCACCAUCGAACGGAACAGAAGAAUGUCCGGAACAAGUUCAGGCUGCGACGACAAGAAAGGUGUUGUGGCUCGCUCAGUGACGUCAUCCAUCAUGGCCGACAGUAACAUGUUUCACAAAUGUGUAUGUGGUAUUUUAAAAAAAAUUACAAAAAAAUAACAAAGAUUUUCUAUCUCAUCCAUCGUGAUAGAAGUUAUUAUUCUUUUGGUGGCACUGUCAGCCAUGUUGAUAUCUCUCACUUCCUGUCUGGGACAGCCCCAGCAUGCAUUUGAUUGGGAACAAAUCCCGCACACGUUCAGAACAUGUGGCAGAUAGUGAAUCGACUGCACCCUUAAUGUAUUUCACCAGGUGUUCAAAUCACAAAAUUUGACUUGUGAUGCUGCAGUGUUACAUACAUACUGCAAUGGUGAUACAUGUCCUAGAUUAUUUAGGGUUGUCAUCCCUUGUUUAAUGUUUUGUACCAAAUUUUGCCCAGGAUAGAUGUUUUAGGCUUGUUAUAACAAAGACAUUGAACCCAUUUAAGUAUUAAUCGAGGCCAAAGGUUGAUUGCUUGUGAAACGAUUAUGUGUGUGGCCUUGUUACUGAUAUAUUGGUUUCUAUGGUAUAUUUGUAGUAUUCAAAAUGUUGGCUUCUCAUAAGUAAUGAGUGCAUCCGAUACAUGCACUUUAUAUAAUGUAUAUUCAAUAACAUCAAUAUUAAUGUGAUUUUUUAGAUAUUAAACAUGGAUACAUUUUUCUGUCAGAGGAAGUUAAUUAAUGAUCACUCACAGCAAAGUCACAAGAAAUGUAAUAUAUGAUGUUACAAAAAUGUUUUGGCAUUGCUCUUCUGAUUCUUUUAUGAUAAAUUUAUGUUUUUGGUACAUGGAAUUUUGUGUGUGAUGAAAGAGAUCCUAAACACGCUUGUUGAUUAAUUCAGUUAUAUCUGAAUCUGACCUGAUUUUACAGACAUUAAUAACUCGAUGGUCCGUGACCAUACCUGUGAAACCUUCUCAUAAAAUUGUAACUAUGCACAUGCAACCCCUUUGUCUUUUAAAAUCAUCAAAAGAUCAUGUUACACAAGUUUAAACAAUGAAGUCUUUAUAGAUGAUAACAAAACGCUUUUCAUUAUUCAAGUCUCCAGAGAAAGCUCCAUAUCUUUGGGGAAAGUGUAAAAUUUGAACAAAUUAUCCCCAGAAUAAUGAAUUUGUCUUAGCACAGAAUCAGAGUUUGAGUAUAAGCAAUGUUUCAUGAAUAUGACCCCCAGGGACAUUAGUGGUGAGACUGUAAAUGUGAUGGGCAGUGGCACUGUCCUGGAAUUUAAUUUGUGUAGUUUUAUUUUGUGUAUCAGAAGAUAAGAAAAAAAAUAUUAUAGGGCUUAUGUUAGUGUAUGUAGUGUUGUGGUACCUGGGUUUAUUUUGUAAACAAUUUUUAUUUACUUUGUUACUUUUAAAAGAAUAUUUGUGAUGCUUAAACCAUUGUCAGGUAGACGAUCACCAGUUUGUUAUUGCUCUUUGGGUUUUAUCUUGGUGUUGCUAUUAUUUUGGCUCAAAUAAUGAUUGUUCCAAAUUGAAUAUACCAGGUAAUUUGAAAUUACCAUGCCCAAAUUAGUUUUGUUUCGGCAGUGGACGAUAAUUUCUUGAUUUGUGACUUAGCUUUGGAUAUUUCAGCAAACUUUGAUGUAUUUUGUCUUUAUUCUGAGACUGACAUAAAAUAUUAUUGAUUUUCAAUUAUUAAAUUAAUAAUGAUGUUAUGUUUUACAGUUUUGUGGGUAUAUGUUUAGAUAACGAGUCAGGUAGACAGGGUGUUGAAGAUGUACAUGGAAAUGUUACGAAGGAUUUCUUUAUUACACUUAUUAUCUGUUGUAUUUUCCUGAAAUUUGUGUAGUUUUUUGCCAUUUUACUUACCAAAUUUGUUUUGUGCCUCAUUUUCCGACAGAAAAUGAAAUAGCAUUAUAAAUGUUAUAAAAUUUAUCAUCUGUAUGACAAUACCAGUUUAAUUAAAGGAGAAAUUUUUGAAUGGUUAUUUAGUAUUUUGGAGAAAAUAUGUCUUGCUAGAACUCUAGCAAGUCUAAUUUAAACUAGUAAAAGAUUAUUUUGAUCUGGAUCAAAUAGCCCUUAAGUUAUUGAUCCAUGCAGCUAUUAAGUAAUUAGCAUUUUAGUGACUCUGAUUUCUUUCUAUGGUAUACAGACUAUUACCAAAUAAUCCUAUCAGUUUCAUGUUAUCAUUAUGAAAUGCUAAUGUUUUUUUAGCUCACCUGGUCCAAAGGCCCGACGAGCUUAUGCCAUGGUGCGUCGUCCAUCUGUCGUCCGUCCGUCAACAUUUCCUUUAAACCUCCACUAGUCCUGAACGGAUUUUGAUGAAAUUUGAAAGGUGAUCCAAUGAACAUUUAUAAACAUGAGAGAACAAAACUUAGGUGGGGCUGGAGGGGUGGGGCCAAAUAGGGGAAAUAUACAAAUGUAGCAAAAAAAUUAAAAUCCCUUUUCUGAUAGGAUUUAUUCCACAUUUGGUUUGAAAUGUUGUUGGGAGAAACAACUCAAGAAGAAGGAAAAUAUUUGUAAUUAUAUAACUUAUAUAGAGUGUUUGUCAUGAUUACUGGAAUAUCCAGGUAGGCGAUGCAGACCCUCUGGGCCUCUUGUUUCUUGAGGUUAGGUUGGAAAUUACACAGACACAUCAAUCAUGUUUGAGGACAAUUCUCUGAUAAAUAAAUUGUGUAAAAUAUCAUAAACAAAAUGUAUAGGGGUCUAAAACUCAUAUAUACAUUGUGUUUUCAUAUAAUGUUGAAUUGAUAUGAAAAAUUACCAAUUUUAACAUAGGUUUGUUUAAGAUUCCCCAACAAGCUUGAUAAUUAGAUAUCACAUGAGUAGUAAGUGUUUGAUUCAAUUCAUUAUGUAAUUCCAGAGACAAAUUUGAAAAAAAAUGUAUUUUCAGUGUUUUUUAUAUGGUGACAGUUGACAAACAUAAAUGUUUCACUACCAAGAAAAUAGCAUGACAUCAUGUACAGUGUAAAGGGUGUAUGUAUGACGUCAAGUGUUAUACAGAUGUUACCAUGGCAAACAGCCUCUAGCUGUAAAAAUAUGAUGCAUGAAAUCUAUCAGAUAAAUUCACUAAAUGAAAUGUGGAUAUUCAUAAAAUGUGACAAAAUUUGAAAAUUCAUGGUUUAGCAUCUGAUCACAAAUAUACAGUGGAUAUAGGGCAAAUAGCAUUUAUCAUUGGUAGGAGGACAGUAUUACUGUUAAUCAUAAUGUAGAGAAGCUAAGGUUGGAUAAGAAAUCAUUGAAUUGAUAAACAUUUAUAUACAUAUGUUAUUGUGUAGUGAUAUUGUACCAGUGUAGUCCAUUAUGCCAGCAUUGUUGUUUACUUGUUAUAUCAUGCCUACCACUGUGUCAAGAUAUAUCUAAUUUGGUUGUACAAUUUUUAUGAAAAUGAUAAUAAUUGAUUGUCACUAUAGAAAACAAAUUAAUCUCAAAUCACAAAUAUGAAUUAUGUUUGCCUUAAGGAUACAUGUCAUUUGAACCUAAUCUUUCCAAAAGAGUUCCACACAAAAAUAUUUGUAAAUUUCUUUGAUAUAUGUAAAGUUAAGGUUUAAGUGUUACCCAUAAAUUCAAGCAGGUAGUUUAAUUUGGGAUGGGGUAAUUUUGCUGAGAAUUAUAGGUUAUUGGCGAGGGGCUGGGUUAAUUUUGCUGAGUAUCAUCAGUUAUUGGGGAGGGGCUGGGUUAAUUUUGCCGAGAAUUAUAGGUUAUUGGGGAGAGGUUGGGUUAAUUUUGUUGAAAAACAUAUGUUUUGGGGAGGUUUUCUAGCAAGGGACUAGUUACCAUAUCUAUCCUGCUAAUUACUUGUGGGGAACGGGGACAGAAAUAACCUCACAAGGUAGUUCUGAGUAUUUGUUAGCAUUUCUAUUGAACAGCAAUAUAUGGUGGGCUUAUUACCAGGCAUGGGAUUUUUGUUGGAUAAAUAAAACAAUCUUUAGAGAAAAGUUCCUGCAUUUUAAAAAGUCUCAUAGUAUUAUGUUUGUGUGGAAAAUUGAGUCAUAGAUGUACAGUGUUGAUGAUUUCUGUUUGAAUGAAAUGAUGACCUAUUACUGUUUUAACUAUAUAAUUAUAUAUAUAAUGAAGUGUUUAUAUAAUUAUAUAUAUAAUGAAGUGUGAAAUGUGAUCCCUACAGAUUAAGUAUAAAGAAAAACUCAACAACAUGUCUUUAGUACUUUUGUUGCAUUUUCAGUCAGGGGUUGUGGUGGCAGAGUGGUUAAGGUGUCCCAACACUUCAUCACUAGACAAAUGUAUAGCCCUCCACCUCUUGGUUGUGAGUUCGAAACUCAUGUGGCUCAGUUGACGGUACUGGGUUUUUCGCCUGGUACUCCGGCUUUCCUCCACCUCCAAACCUGGCAAAUCCUUAAAUGACAGUGACUAUUAAAAGGAUGUUAAACAAAAUUAACCAAGCAUCAUCAGUCUGAAAUAUUACCAAGAUGGGAUGAAAGUACUAAAGAUUUGUUGUCGAGUCUCUCUCUCUCUCUAUAUAUAUAUAUCAUUUGUUAGUUACAAGUUGAAAUCUCUCAUCAUAUAAUUAAGACUGGCUUUUAUAGAAUUAGCUUGAUUUAUAUUUACAAAGCUACCUUGUUAAAGUUUUAGGUACAAUGUAAAUGUGUUCGUCUGGAUACUUACAUUCCUAAAUGAAGUUAGGACCAGAACAGAAAUUUACCUUUUCAGUAUAUAUACUUCAGAAACUCGAGCAUUAAAAGAAUUUACAGUAUUAUUGCAGGUGUAUAUUUUACGGAGGAUCCACAGAGUAGAUAUAAUCUAUUUUUGCUGAUUUGUGGUGUGGUUCUUUACAGAAUCUUGACAAUCUGUUAAAUUAUGUUAUUGAAUUAUUUGUUGGCUUCAAAAUUUUCAAUACACCUGCAACAAAUUUUAUUUUAUAAAAAUAAAUUGAUCAAUGGCUGCCUACAAUCAUUUGAUUAAUUGACCACCCUUUCUUUCAAAAUAUUUUAUUGAAGCAUAUGUCACAAUCAAUGAACAUAUAUCUGUUCAUUAUCCAAAGCCUUGUUAUUUUUUGUCUUUGUGAAAUGUAUCUGUUAUUUAGAUUAAAGCAGAAAUAUAUUUUCAUCUCCUUAACUAGGGUAAAAGUUGCCUGCAAGAAAUUUAUGGAUUUCAUUCGAGACAAAUUUUCAUUUUAGGCUAAUUGACUAGAGGUUAAUUAGAGAGCUUCAUUUGUUUUGUGUUUGUGAGAUUUUAGGGCACCUGUAACUUGUUUUGCCAGUUUACACUGUUUAACUUGUCUUUAUAUGCCAUGCAUACAUUUACCUCCAUUUUUGGUAUCUAAUGAAAAAGUUAAGUUAGUACAAACAGUUCUUAGUACCUUCUGUUUAAUGAUAAAAAUUCAUAUUUUCAAGUCAUAAUAAACUCACAGGGAGUUAAGGACUAUCAAUUUUUGUUACUUUUUUAACGUUUAUCUCUUUAAUCAUUUUAAUAAAGAGUAUUUUUUACUGUGAAUAACUUUUGCACAUAUCAGUAGUAUUCCAGAAGAAAAUUCAUAAUUACAAUUCGCUUGUAAGGUUGCUCCAAUUUGACUCCUGCUGUGAUGACUGUUUUGUUGAACUGCAAUGUGUCUCAGCUUUGUAAACACAUCAGUAAAGCUAUGUUAAUACAUGUA